rnacentral:rRNA from 1 species
UACGGGGGGGGCAAGCGUUGUUCGGAAUUACUGGGCGUAAAGGGCUCGUAGGCGGCCAACUAAGUCAGACGUGAAAUCCCUCGGCUUAACCGGGGAACUGCGUCUGAUACUGGAUGGCUUGAGGUUGGGAGAGGGAUGCGGAAUUCCAGGUGUAGCGGUGAAAUGCGCAGAUAUCAGGAAGAACACCAAUGGCGAAAGCAGCUUUCUGGGACGGUACUGACGCUGAGACGCGAAAGCGUGGGGAGCGAACAGG